AUUGAACGCUGGCGGCAGGCUUAACACAUGCAAGUCGAACGAGUGGCGGACGGGUGAGUAAUGUGUGGGAAUCUAGCCUAUGGAGGGGGAUAACUACGGGAAACUGUAGCUAAUACCGCAUACCAUAGGAUGCGCCCAGGUGGGAUUAGGGAGUUGGUGGGGUAAAGGCUAACCGAGGCGACGAUCUCUAGCGGGUCUGAGAGGAUGACCAGCCACACUGGGACUGAGCCACGGUCCAGACUCCUACGGGAGGCAUCAGUGGGGAAUAUUGCGCAAUGGGGGAAACCCUGAUGCAGCCAUGCCGCGUGAAUGAAGAAGGCCUUCGGGUUGUAAAGUACUUUCGGUAGGGAGGCGUUAACUGCAGAAGAAGCACCGGCUAACUCCGUGCCAGCAGCCGCGGUAAUAC
rnacentral:rRNA from 1 species